ensembl:lncRNA
GAACGUAUCUGUAUAUUUAAUCACGUAAACAAGUAUACAUAACGAGACGAAUACAGCGUGCCACCAAGCUGAGAUUUGCAGUAAACAUAAAGUAUAAGUGAGUAUUUGUUCAUAAUUAUUAGUUGUAGUUUGUGUACCACAUGUCAAAAAGUAUGUAUUAAAUGUUAAUAUAAUAUAACGUACUGAAGGUUUUAGGCUAAGACAUUAUAUGAGUCAGUCGUAACUCAUCAAAGAGCCGUGCUGACGCUUUGCUGAGUCGAGGUCAGGCUCGACAGAUGUUCUCUGGAAGUCACCGUGUCACACUUGGUGUUGAGAUGUGCAGCACGGAGGUCACUGCAGUCAGCGGAGAGAAGUCUUACAUACAUGCAACUAUGAGACAACAUUGAUCCUCCAGCUAAACAGAAACACUUUAUACACAGCACAGGUUAAUAAAGGCUUUCAGUCGUAGUUUGACACAAGUAUGACAUUUUCUUGUUUACGACGUUCAAUCUUCAAUGUUCAAUCUUGUUAUGUUGCCUUUAAAGGAUUUCUGCUGUCUUGUGAUUCUGACCUUGAAAUCCCAUUGGACCUUCAUACGUGUUGUCUGAAAAGCCUGGGGAAAUGUGAACUUAAUUAGAUCUGAUAGUUAGACAUAAUUACAUGACACCAGAAUGUUUUGAUGUCUACCUUGAAGGAACGUUCCUGCCAUAAUUGUUGUAUUUGAUGAUGUGGACAGCAGCCAGUGAGCACUGGUGAAAUAUCUCAGCAUGCUUGUGCAAGCAACAAGUCCAGGAGAGAAUCCUGACUAAUUCCACCCUGUCAUACACCCCCUGUUUACCGUCAGUCUGCACGGGAACGUGUGAUUCCUCAAAACUCAAGUAAGAACUAAAAGAGGAAGUACCUCCCUGAGUAGACCUUGGUGCACCCACAUUUGAUAAAAAGCUAACAAGAAGCACAAGAUAAAAGGAGCAAAGUUGCAUGUGGCUUUUUCUUUGCGUAUGAAUGUGCAACGAAACAUGCCCGAUGAGUCACCUUCUUUUAGUAAACACUGAUAACUCCUGAGAACAAAACAAGCUCAAUCGUGCAUAUUUGUAUAUAUCAUUUAUUUGCAGAUACUCUUAACAUGACUGAUAAUGGGAAUUUUGUCUUUUGUUUCCUACACACACAGAAAAUACUUGAACCGUCACCGCUUGUGUUUGGCAAGUGCUCAAUGUCCUCAUGUCUACAAGUUGUGCCUGUG